UGAGUAAAUCGGAUAGCCGCGAGGUUUGUACCUCGAGGAAAGUCGGAGCUCCACAGGGCAGGGUGCUGGGUAACACCCAGUGGGGGCAACCCCAAGGCUAGUGCCACAGAAACAAACCGCCCGGCCUUUAGUUGGGUGUACAACUAAAUUUGCUUAUUAUCUAUAUUAUAUCACAGUCUGGCUCAACUAACACUUUGGUUGUACCACCAACUGAGUGCCGGGUAAGGGUGGAAAGGUGAGGUAAGAGCUCACCAGCGGUUAGGCGACUAAUCGGCUAGGUAAACCCCACUCGGAGCAAGACCUAAUAGGGGGGAUAUGGAGUAGCCCGCUCCGCUCCCGGGUAUGGUCGCUUGAGGUGUCAGGCAACUGGCAUCCCAGAUAGAUGGCUAUCUAAUACAGAACUCCGCUUACAGAUUUACUCAUUCU
rnacentral:RNase_P_RNA from 1 species